rnacentral:rRNA from 1 species
ACUCCUACGGGAGGCAGCAGUGGGGAAUAUUGCACAAUGGGGGAAACCCUGAUGCAGCCAUGCCGCGUGUGUGAAGAAGGCCUUCGGGUUGUAAAGCACUUUCAGUAGGGAGGAAGGUAGUGUAGUUAACACCUGCAUUAUUUGACGUUACCUACAGAAGAAGCACCGGCUAACUCCGUGCCAGCAGCCGCGGUAAUACGGAGGGUGCGAGCGUUAAUCGGAAUUACGUGGGCGUAAAGCGCAUGCAGGCGGCCUGUUAAGUCAGAUGUGAAAGCCCGGGGCUUAACCUCGGAAUUGCAUUUGAAACUGGCGAGGCUAGAGUCUUGUAGAGGGGUUAGAAUUUCAGGUGUAGCGGUGAAAUGCGUAGAGAUCUGAAGGAAUACCAGUGGCGAAGGCGGCCCCGUGGACAAAGACUGACGCUCAGAUGCGAAAGCGUGGGAGCAAAC